CCUACGGGCGGCUGCAGUGAGGAAUAUUGGUCAAUGGGAGCAAUCCUGAACCAGCAAUGCCGCGUGUGGGAUGACGGGGCUCUGCCUUGUAAACCACUGUCGGAUGGGACGAAAGGGAGUAAGAACUCCUGGGACGGUACCAUCAAAGGAAGGGACGGCUAACUACGUGCCAGCAGCCGCGGUAAUACGUAGGUCCCAAGCGUUGUCCGGAUUCACUGGGUAUAAAGGGUGCGUAGGCGGCCUUGUGCGUCAGAGGUGAAAUAUCCGGGCUCAAC
rnacentral:rRNA from 1 species